rfam:Danio rerio chromosome 4, GRCz11 reference primary assembly.
GUUAGGAUGGCCGAGCGGUCUAAGGCGCUGCAUUCAGGUUGCAGUCUCCUCUGGAGGUGUGGGUUCGAAUCCCACUUUUGACA